rnacentral:tRNA from 1 species
CGCCUUCGUCGCGGGCGCCGCCGUGGGCCUCGGCGCCGACGCCCUGCCCACCCGCAGGCGCCGCGUCCCCGUG